CAGCACUCCAGAUGUUUUGGACUACACCUCCCUUGAUGCUUUGUCAGCAUUAGGGGCAUUAAAGCAUUAUAGGAGAUGUAGUCCAAAACAUCUGGAGUGCCG